UGCCUUUUCACCUAUUCAUUUUGACACCAGAAAUAUGAGUCGUUAUCUUGCUGUCCCUCUUGGGAUCUUCUGAUCAGAGAAGGUUUAAGUUUUUUCAAAUCAAAUGAACCUGGUUUCCAGAUCAUGAAUGAUGUAUACUCUGUUUCAUCUUUCUAGCUUGUAUACUCAACCGUUGCGCAAAUUUUCCAUAACAAUCUGUAACACAAUUUAUCCUAUGUUCUGUGGAAAAUUGGUGGCAACAAAUUUACUGAAGUACUAAUGUUAUGCUGGUGGCUUCUUUUAGUAGCCAACUUUUACUUAUCGGGUCACCCUGUUGCUUUCUAAUCUUACGAAAAAGGAGAUUGAGAUCGACUACUUUUAUAUCAUAAUAAUAUUGGAAAGCAUCCAUUCCUUGUCUUGCUAAAUACAUUUCAAUAUUUUAACAUAAAUCUGUAGAAUUUUAAUCAGCGCAGUUUAUUGGGGGGUGUAAGGGUGGAUGUGGACGUAAGGGAAUCCGUGCCAGUUUGUCGUAUCAUAAUUAAUUAAUUAAAUUCUUACCACAUUGUUACUUUGGCCUGACGUAAGAAUCGUACAAAAUCAGGUGUUUUUCUUCUGGGUGAGGUACUGUGAUCAAUUAUAUGAAUGUGCCAAUUUUGCCAGCCUUUUCCGCAGCAGUAGAUUCACAGCUUUUGGUGUGUUUGGUGGCAAUUAUCAGGGUCACUAACUCCUAUGGUGCUAGGACGGGGCCAAAAGUACUGAAAGAUCAUACUGUUAGUUCUACGGCUACUGCUUCUUGUUGGCAUACUGCUGUUCAAAGCUGCUAUGUUGUGAAAGUAUUUUUAUAUGUUCAGUAAUUUGGUGGCUGCUGAUUUCUCUGUGGUCCAUCUCUGGCUCUCUACUGCAUUUUCUUAGUUAUCUUCUAGUUGGCUAGAGGUUUUCCUGCAUCCUUUGUAAAUACAUUGCAUAAAGAGUUCCGUGUUAUUAUCGUUUUAUGCUUUCUAUGCUGCUGGAGGAUAUAUUCAUUGGUCAUACAGUUCUUGCUGAGUUGUUUGUGGGUCUUCUUUAUAAAUGUGUCAGGACUUGUUAGUGCUUGGUUGUGUGUGCGAUAUAUACCGCAAGAUGAGAAUCUGAGAUUUGGGGAGUGGAUGUACAAACCCACCACCCAGGUUCUAUUUAUGGUUUCUAUUUAUUAUUUAUAUUUUCGGGGCUUUCCUUACAUUUCUGUUUCAGAAAAGAAGAAAAGAGCACCUAAGACUUCAAUGCAUGCCAUAUUAAAAUCACCAUUUCAACUGCAUCCAAGAUUCUGUUCGAUGUGAUAUGCUAAGUUUUGGUGAUUGUGCCUGCUGUUGAUACAUGAACCAAUUACCCAAGUGGCUGAGAACCGAGAUGAGGAUAUGGUGAUAUGCUGGCUGUCACCGCUGACGGAGACAGGUGGUGCUUCUGUUUCUGUGGACUUUAAAUUUUGGCCUUUUCCUUUUAAAUGUUCAUCCAUCAUUAUCCAGAAUAAAUCCCUGCUUUACAGCACUAGGAGCCAGAAUGAGGUUCUGAAUACACCUGAUUGCUUUCAAUUCUGUACCACAGUGAAUUAAAUGUUCUGAAAAUGCUAGGAAGCCAAGACCCUUAUGCUGUUACUAUUUACUCUUAGAGUAGAUCUUCACUGGAUGUGUGAUAAUUUCUGGUAUUAUACUAACUGGCAGAAUCAGAAUAAAUAUGUGGAUAACUACUUGCAAAAAAAUGCAUUCUUUUCUACCAUAGUGCACACCUUUCUUCUUCUUCUUCCAUUGUUUGAUUAUGCCGAGAUAGGUUUCUAAGACAUUUUACAGAAGUCGAAAAGUAAUGUGCACCAACAUAAAGUGAUGGUGUUCACCAAAUACUUUGUAGUCACGGUUUCUUUACAAAUCAUUGAUCAAAAUUAUGUAGCCUUGACGGAAAGUAAGGGAAAUGAGGCGAGUCUCUGUGUGGCCAUGGCAGGAAGCGCCAGCUGCAGGAUCAAAUGAUAGGGGAAACUGUGGUCACGCAUAGCAGGUUUUAGGAGUAGCAAGUCCAGCUGGAGUGGGGGCGGUGGCGAGACAAGCAUUACACACAUAUAGCCACACCAGGCAGAAUUGCCAUAUAAGUACCAGCAGAUGCGUUCACCGUCGGAACAUAUCCUGUUCAUGCCGAUCCUGCAAGAUAUUUGGGAGUUGAUUUUGGUGUGCCCCCACCAACUUGUUUCUGAUAUUCAGGUCUUGUGGUGGUUAUUACACUGCAUAUGUCCCCUUUUUUUUCGAUCCAUGGCUGUGAACUAUUUGUAGAAAUACACACAUACUUAUAUGUGGGAUGUCACUUAAUCGGCAUGCUAUUGUAUCAGGUACAGCCAGAUGAAUCGAGGAUCAUGUAUGAGAUCACUGAUUACAAUGGUUUUCAUUAACUUGAUUCAAAGGAUGAUGCUUCUCGUAUAAUGUUCCCAUUUUGUCACUUUAUCCACGGGUAUGCAUGCUACCCAAGAACCAAAGCUUGUCGAGAGAAAAAUUUCAAUAUGGAGGAGGGCCGGGUCCCGUGGGGUCUGGUAAAUAAGUUGGCGUGGCUUGCAGUCCGUUUGCGGCUAGACAUGCGGACGUCACAGUAGAUUUGCGACAUGAAGACUGCAUCUGUUUGAUCUGAAUCAAGUCCCGAGUUCAGCUCGUGGCCCUGGGAAAUGCUUGUUGUUUCUUACCUGACAGAAAAUGGACCAAUGCACGCUGUUGGUGGACCAUGGCGAUGGUCCUGAGAUUUGGAGGUUUAAGCCGCGUAAUUGCGAUGGCCCGGCUGCAUUCCGGUGAUCAAUUGCAACGUAACAAAAUCGUGGAAUUGGGUACAGGAAGAGGGCUAG